rnacentral:lncRNA from 1 species
AAGUUUCCACUCUCUUCUUCACCCAAUCAGUGUACUCAGGCAUAGCAAUGGCGAACUUCUUCCCUAAGACGGAUCCGUCUCUGACACCAAUAGACUUCCAAGCUCUUCCAAUCUGCUCCAAUCUAACAGGAUCAAUACGCUUCUCAAAAUACACACUCUCAGCUAUCUCAGCUUCAAGCGGCCUUCUACUCAUAAUGAACCCCAACUGGCGAAGAGAAAGAACCGGGUUGUAAUUGAUGCAACCCUUGGUCCCCACAAGUGGCACGUUCCGGAAUUCUCCACAACUCAUAAUAACAUCCCGCACAUCCAUCCGGUAUGACUGCCAUCUGAU